AUACGGAGGGUGCAAGCGUUACUCGGAAUCACUGGGCGUAAAGCGCGCGCAGGCGGCUUGAUAAGUUGGAUGUGAAAGCCUACGGCUCAACCGCAGAACUGCAUCCAAAACUGUCAGGCUAGAGUGUGGGAGAGGAAGAUGGAAUUAGUUGUGUAGGGGUAAAAUCCGUAGAGAUAACUAGGAAUACCAAAAGCGAAGGCAAUCUUCUGGAACACUACUGACGCUGAGGCGCGAAGGCGUGGGGAGCAAACAGGAUUAGAAACCCCGGUAGUCC
rnacentral:rRNA from 1 species